UACGUAGGUGGCAAGCGUUUGUCCGGAUUUACUGGGCGUAAAGAGCGCGCAGGCGGUCGAUCAAGUCGCGUGUGAAAGCCCCCGGCUCAACUGGGGAGGGUCACGCGAUACUGAUCGACUCGAAGGCAGGAGAGGGUAGUGGAAUUCCCGGUGUAGUGGUGAAAUGCGUAGAUAUCGGGGAGGAACACCAGGUGGCGAAGGCGACUACCUGGCCUGUUCUUGACGCUGAGGCGCGAAAGCUAGGGGAGCAAACGGG
rnacentral:rRNA from 1 species